AUCCUCCAAAAACCUCUAUAUCAAUCAUGUGUCACUACAUACAAUGUACAUUUUACCAUAUACAAUGAAUUAGUAUGUGCAUCACCAUAUAAGUAUAAUCCAAAAACAUCUACAACAAAAAAGUAUGACAAAACACAACAUCAAAGUCUCCAAGGGAGUCUUGAUGUAGAGUGUGAGGUGGAUGGCUUGGAGGUUGCGAUUGAGAGUGCUACAGAGGUUGCUAGCUAGGCUGUUGCUGAGGCUGCUGCUAAGGUUAGGCUGUUGCAGAGAUUGGUGAGGCUGCUAUUGAAGAAGGUUGGCCACUACAGUUGAUGCUUGUAUAUAUUUGAAAUUGGUAGUGACAAAAAAAGCAAUACAUCAAAUCUUUCUUGAGAUUAUAUGCAGAUUAAGGUUGAUCAAUAUAUCUCAGGUUCAUCUAAUCUUAAAGUGAUGGCUUAUUGUUCAGUUCCUAUCAUUUAAAAAUGCAAACCAAAUAUAUUUAGUUUUGUAAGUAAAAAUGUUCGAGCUAAUUAAUAUACUUUGAAUGUUCUUCAUUACCUUAUUUGGACUACCUUUUUUCCAGAUGUAUCAGUAGAUGCAGUGUUUUUUUAUUUAGGUGCUACUUUAACCUUCUUAGAAGCUUAUUUCUUAAUUGGUUUAUUCUUCUUAGGACCUUUGUAAGUCUUUGCAUAGUGCCCCUGCUGCAUGCAGUUACUGUAUCUAAGACAGUCUCUUGUCCUUCUAACCUUGUGAGGGUUCUGCACUUUAUCCUCCUUCUUGACUUCUUGGACCUGGUAGGAAGUCUCUUAAGUACAAACAUAGCUAGUGGCUCAAACUAAGAGGGCUCCUAUUUUAUUGCAUUUCAAGUAUAAGGUUGAUAGCCAUCUCAUAUGCUCUCAUGAACAUAUCCUUGGGAUAGCAAUGAUUCAUAUAAUGUUCAACUUCCUUCCUAGAGGAUAUGAUUAAUGUCAUUGUAUGGCAACACGAGAUACCGAUCAACUCAAACUCUGUGCAUUCAUAAGUUUUUUUCUCUAAGUUAACUACUUAAGUACAAUCAUAGUGAUCCACCUCAAAGCUGUUGCCUCCACCCUAUAUGAUGUGGCACUGCAUGGUUUUCAACUUUGCUAACUCUACCUUCUUUUGAAUCUUAGGAUAUAUAGGACCACCGUACUUCAAUGCAACUUCCCUAUAUGUCUGUAACCUUUGCAUCAAAAGUCUUUUAAUAGUCUCCAGAUAAGUGAUAAUUAGCUUGUCAUUGGCUUCCAUGGUGUAACUCUUAAAUGAUAUAUAUAAUUCAAUAUCAUAUCACAUCUUAUCUUGGGAUUAAAUGUGUGUCCAUGCUAUAAAGAAGUAUCUUGUCUAAGUAGCCAAUCUAUUACUUUCUGAUCCAACUCAGAUAAGGCUUUUAUCUUAUUUUUGAAAUUAGAUCCAGUAGAUGCCUUAACUGCUGCAUAUAGGGCAUCUUUGAAGUCCUUCUCUUUGAAUGAUAUUCUAAAAUUGGUAUGUAAAUGCCUCAUGCAGAAUAUAUGAUCAGCAUUUAGCUCCAUGCAAUUGAAUGUUUCCACUAAACUUUACAAGAGUAGACAAAGGUUAAUAUGGACAAUAGAACAUUAGAAAGGUUAAUAAUUUUAAAUGAUAAAUUCUUACCUUUUGCCUAUCCGAAAUGAAUGUUUAAUCCCCUUCUUCUAAUGUCCCUAUGUCUCCUAAAAGGUUACUAAUGAACCACAUCCAGUUCUCUUUGUUCUCGGUCUAGACAAUAGCAAUGCAAUGGAACAUAUUUCAUUAUUCUCAUCCCUCCCAAUAGCGGAUGGUAGUUGUCCUCCCAUGACUUUUUUUAAGCGACACCCAUCUAAACUAAUAAUAGAUGUACAUCCAUGAAGAAAGUGUCCCUUGCAUGCAUAUAGACAGACAUAUAACAUUUAGAAGAGGAGCUACUGUCCUUUCCUGAGUAAUAUACUAAUGAGCAUGGUACUAUCGGGGUUCAUCCUCUUAAUAUAAUCACAGUACUUCCAUAGUUUUUCAUAUUUUUAUACAACUCAUAAAUAGCUAGGAGUAUUUUCUUCUUUACUCUAUAUGCUUGAGCCUUGAAGAUCUAUGCCUUAAUAUGUCUCUUGACGCUUGCAACAAAUUCUUUAACACUCCAUUUGGUAUCAGUCCUAAUAUCUUCAAUGUAGGCUUCAAAUAAUCAUCUGGAGUUCAUAAGGUGAUUAUUAAAAUAUCUCUCAUAUUUAUGUGUGGGUUUAAACUUCUUAAUCUAACAGGUAGAUAACCAUUAUAGAGGAGGCAUGAAUCCUCCAACCAUAAUUCUACUUGCAAAUGACUGUAUUUCUAAAUUUUUUAUUAUGCUUGUAUACAUAGUCAAAACUUUGUUAUAUAGCAUAUUGCCUCCAAGCUUUUUUAAAUAUAUUGACUGAAGCAAAUAGCAUUCCCACCUUGACAUCUAUAAGUUUGAAGAAAUCUGUAUCCUCAUUGAAUUUUGGGAACCUAGAGCUAUCCCCUUCUCCUUCAGAUGAGCUAGCAAUACUUUUGAGCUCAUCAUUACCAUUAAGCUCAGGCUUUUUUCCAACUAUCUUUUCUUCUUUUCCAAUUUCUAGCUACUACUAUUGAACAUUUUUAUCAACCAUUGAAUGAUUAAUAUACUUCUCAAAUAGCUCAUCAUCCUCUAAUUUAAGAAGUUACUCAAUGGUAGACUAUCAUCACUAUCAGAACUGCCUGUGUCAUACUCUUCUUCAUCUGUAGGCCUUAUAAUAAGCCUUCUAUCCUAUUCAUGUAUAUUUGCAAAUUGUUACUGCUGCCUUGCUCUUGUAACUACUCUUGUCCAUACUCCUGUUGUUGGCCCUACUACCGUCUGCCUGCCUUAUCAAUUUUUUGAAUGGAUAGAAGUACAGAAGGUGCCUCUACUAUAUCUAAUUCUAUCUUGUUGAUUUCAUGUUCUACAUAAAUUACUAUAUUGCUCUCUUCAUUGCAAAAAACCAUCAUCUAAAGCAUAUCUUGAUUAGUAUAUAGAGAUUUUAGUCCCUCUUCUAAAGAUUAUCCUAGGACUAUAUAGUACAAUUAUUCUAUUUUUUGGUAACCAAGAUCUUUUAUGAGAUUUUCCAACUCAAUAUUACUUAUUAAGUUUAAAGUGUAGUUAUCAUAAUAGUUGACAGAGCCACCAAUAUACCGCAUGAUGGGGGAAGAUAGAUAUUUUUCAUGGUCGAUCUCUAGUGUAAAUAGGUUAUCCAUACUGCAUACAUACGUAAAAUUAGUGUUAACAUGGUAUUGUUAGUAGUUACAAUAUAAUAGGUUAGCUAACUUGCUUACAUAUAAUAUUGUUACCUAAUUUACUAAAUAACAGAAUAUCAUUACAAUACAACAAUAGUCUCCAACCUCCAACUAACUGAUUUUCAUUAAGAUAAUGUAAUAUAAAGUUACAAUACAAUAGUGUAAACAAUCAAGUCUUAGUGGCUAAUUAACUAUACUAAAUGCCAGAUCUUAUCUUUCCUAAGGGUUCUGUAAUGGUCAAUUAUAAGUUAAUUGUGUUAACAAUCCUCAUAGAAGGUGACUUCGAGAUGUAGCAACAUCUUUUCUAGAAUUGCUGCCUUCCUAUCAUAUCAUAGUUUUAGGAGUUCAAAUGGUAUCAUGGUCUUUUAUCUACACCACUUCCAACUUCUUCGGAAAAGAAAAAUGUACUAUCCAUUUAUAUCGGGCUACAAUGCCUUGCAACCUAUAUGGCUGGUAGCCCCCAAAAAAAUCUCUAUCAUCGGUUUACUAGAAUCCUAAAAACUUUUAGAAAAAAAUAAUGUAUUACUACAAUCCCUAAAACUAUACUUGAAACUAUAAAACUAUAGCUAUUAUGAAUGCUAUAUUAUCAAAUACAAAGAAUUUG
rnacentral:lncRNA from 1 species